rnacentral:rRNA from 1 species
UACGGGGGGGGCAAGCGUUGUUCGGAAUUACUGGGCGUAAAGGGCUCGUAGGCGGCCAGCUAAGUCAGACGUGAAAUCCCUCGGCUUAACCGGGGAACUGCGUCUGAUACUGGAUGGCUUGAAUCCGGGAGAGGGAUGCGGAAUUCCAGGUGUAGCGGUGAAAUGCGUAGAUAUCUGGAGGAACACCGGUGGCGAAGGCGGCAUCCUGGACCGGUAUUGACGCUGAGGAGCGAAAGCCAGGGGAGCAAACGAG